rnacentral:lncRNA from 1 species
CUUACAUGUUUCAAAAUUAUUUAUACAGCCAAAAGAAAUGUAGACAACUAAUUUGGGAGGUGGCUUGUAAGAGAACAGCAAAGAGUGAGACUAAAGGCUUUGCUUGAUAAUUAUAAUUAUUUUAUCAGUUUUGAAGAAGAUGACUUUAUAAGUUACUCUUAUUCUGAGAUGAAUGCUUUUCAAAAUCAUCACAGCCACUGAACCAGAAUCUUACCUUUACCUAAUGUCUGUGCCACCCUCCACACAGAACCAUUUUUCAUUGAAACAGUUGAUGAAUGA